rnacentral:rRNA from 1 species
GCCGCGUGAGUGAUGAAGGUUUUCGGAUCGUAAAGCUCUGUUGUUAGGGAAGAACAAGUACCGUUCGAAUAGGGCGGUACCUUGACGGUACCUAACCAGAAAGCCACGGCUAACUACGUGCCAGCAGCCGCGGUAAUACGUAGGUGGCAAGCGUUGUCCGGAAUUAUUGGGCGUAAAGGGCUCGCAGGCGGUUUCUUAAGUCUGAUGUGAAAGCCCCCGGCUCAACCGGGGAGGGUCAUUGGAAACUGGGGAACUUGAGUGCAGAAGAGGAGAGUGGAAUUCCACGUGUAGCGGUGAAAUGCGUAGAGAUGUGGAGGAACACCAGUGGCGAAGGCGACUCUCUGGUCUGUAACUGACGCUGAGGAGCGAAAGCGUGGGGAGCGAACAGGAUUAGAUACCCUGGUAGUCCACGCCGUAAACGAUGAGUGCUAAGUGUUAGGGGGUUUCCGCCCCUUAGUGCUGCAGCUAACGCAUUAAGCACU